rnacentral:rRNA from 1 species
UACCUACAGAAGAAGCACCGGCUAACUCCGUGCCAGCAGCCGCGGUAAUACGGAGGGUGCAAGCGUUAAUCGGAAUUACUGGGCGUAAAGUGCGCGUAGGCGGUCGAGUAAGUCGGAUGUGAAAGCCCCGGGCUCAACCUGGGAAUUGCAUUCGAUACUGCUUGACUCGAGUGCAGUAGAGGAGAGUGGAAUUCC